GGGUGUAAGCAACAUCAGCUAUGCUACUAGACAGUGAAGCUAACUUUUGUUUACACAUAACGUUGCCUUAUAUGUAAUCUGUGCAGCCUAUGUGUUUGGCACUGUAGUUGUCAGCAAAUGUGAUUCAAUGGUAGUUAUUUAAUGUUAGUUUGUAAUAGUUUUGAGUGGGAUGUAACAUUCAAUGUUUGCCUUUAUUUUUAACAACACAUGUAAUUAUGCAGUAAACAAAAAAAGCAAUAUAUUGUUGAUUUUAGAUUUUUGACCACUUUUAGCUCUGAUGACGGCUGUGCUCACACUUCAUUCUCGCACCAGCUUCAUGAAGUCAACACCUGGAAUGGUUUCCAACAGUCUUACAGGAGUUCAUAUACUGGAUGUUGAGCACCUGUAGGCUGCUUUUCUUUCACUCUGCUUCCAACUCACCAUGGGUUUAGCUCAGGUGACUGUGGAGGCCAGGUCAUGUGAUGCAGUUUGUGUGCUGAUGUUCAAACAACUGGAGUUCCCUAUAUUCUUAAAAACAAUCAAUCAGUCAGAUUAAUAUGAAUAAAUCUACCAGCCAGUUAAAUAAAUAUGGUUAUGAAGUAAGUUAUUAAAUGAAUAAAUAAAGGUGUCCCAGUCCCUGGGAUCAGCUUACAUCAAUUCAAUAAAAUAUUUAUCAGUUAUCAAUUGUUUUCAAAGCCCAGUAUUCAGGAACAUUUUAUUGCCAGUAGUCUGUAUAUACUAAUGAAACUUACAUAUCCAUUUUAAAUGGCAGCAAACCUUGCCUCAGUAAAAGUAGAUCUAUGACUUUUGACCAUAGCCUCUAUGUGAAUAUGAUCUAGGGUCAUUUGUUUUGACUGAAAGCUAGCCGAUUGCUUCAAAACACAGGUAUUAACUAAUUUAUACAUUCAUUAUGGUAUUUAUUUAUUUCAUUAUAUAUUUCACUGGCAUUUUGUUUUAUUUCAAAUAGAAUAACAGCAAUAACAGCAUUCUAUAUGACAUGGUUCAUUCCUCUCUUCUUAGAUAUUUGUACAGUUGCACAUAUCCAAAUAUCAGCUCUGUUCAUUCCCAAUCCACAUUCUUAACUUCCAGUAUCAUGAAUGGACAUUAUUCUGGGUUAUUAUAUAUGUGUUCUGUGACUUGUUUUUGUCCUCCAGACAGAGGGACAUACAAGGACAGAGCAUCCACCACUCUGGACAUCUGGCAGGGUCCAGAAGCUUGAGCACAAACAUUCAUGCAACAGGACAAAAAGUUCGGCUCAAUAUUACAGAUGUGGAACAAAGACAUCUGCUGAUACUAUGAUGAGUUCUUUGUCUACUGCAGAACUCAAGUCCUCUCACAAUCAUGUGCUUAUGUAUGUGAACAAGCUCUUCAGCUCCUCACUUCCAGUACACACAGCUGUAACCAUGCUGGAAGGCCUGGACUACAAUCACCACAUCAACAGACCAGCCAAGAGAAGAGAUGACAGCUCAAUUCAGCACGUUUUGUUAUAACUAUUCCUAUACAUUUUAGGCAGUCAACUUGUAGGUGCUGAGUCAAGGCUGAUCUGGCACUAUGACAACAACAAGUCCAGGAAGUGGAGCUUGUACACAGUCAAGGUUGGUUUCUAGAAGAGCAGAUGAACAGACCAGAACCAUGAGGCCAGAUGAGCCCCAUCGACAUGGCCGUCUGUCAGGUGAUGCUGCCCCAUCCACCGAGGAGCUGAGUCAGCAGAGGGUGAGUUUGGUGACAUACUUGUGUGCAAAAUCCUGAAGAAGUCCA